AUGGAAAAGCAACGUAAAUCCAAGCAAUAAUUAUAAUCCCAAAACAUAAAAACUUAACAAUUUUUAGUUUUGUCAGUAGACCUUCUGCAAAACGUGAAACUUAGCUUGGAAGAUUUCUCUUCGUAUUUUUUAAAAAUUUUCUUGUUUAGAGCGUUAUAGAGAAGCAAAGUCACACAUGGGAUAGGUGUUUAUACCCCCCAAAGAGAAUUUGACGUUUAUUUCUUUGUUUCGCAGAAGGUCUAGUGAUUGUAUAACCAAGAAAGAACAUGAAAAACCCAAACACAGGAAAAAUCCCAUUAAACCCCAACUAU